rnacentral:rRNA from 1 species
AUUGAACGCUGGCGGCAGGCCUAACACAUGCAAGUCGAACGAGUGGCGGACGGGUGAGUAAUGUCUGGGAAACUGCCCGCUGGAGGGGGAUAACUACUGGAAACGGUAGCUAAUACCGCAUACCAUCGGAUGUGCCCUGAUGGGAUGAGCUAGUAGGUGGGGUAACGGCUCACCUGGGCGACGAUCCCUAGCUGGUCUGAGAGGAUGACCAGCCACACUGGAACGGGAACACGGUCCAGACUCCUACGGGAGGCAGCAGGGGGGAAUAUUGGACAAGGGGCGAAAGCGUGAUGCAGCCAGGCCGCGUGUAUGAAGAAGGCCUUCGGGUUGUAAAGUACUUUCAGCGGGGAGGCGUUACUCGCAGAAGAAGCACCGGCUAACUCCGUGCCAGCAGCCGCGGUAAUAC